GGGGAAUAUUGCGCAAUGGGGGAAACCCUGACGCAGCAACGCCGCGUGCGGGAUGAAGGCCUUCGGGUUGUAAACCGCUUUCAGCAGGGACGAAGGGUUUCUGACGGUACCUGCAGAAGAAGCACCGGCUAACUACGUGCCAGCAGCCGCGGUGAUACGUAGGGUGCGAGCGUUGUCCGGAAUUAUUGGGCGUAAAGAGCUUGUAGGCGGUCCGUCACGUCGGAAGUGAAAGGCUACGGCUCAACCGUAGUGAGCCUCUGAAACUGGUGAACUUGAGUGUAGGAGAGGAAAGUGGAAUUCCCAGUGUAGCGGUGAAAUGCGUAGAUAUUGGGAGGAACACCAGUGGCGAAGGCGACUUUCUGGACUACAACUGACGCUGAGGCACGAAAGCGUGGGGAGCAAACA
rnacentral:rRNA from 1 species